AUUGAACGCUGGCGGCAGGCCUAACACAUGCAAGUCGAACGGCAGCACAGAAGAGCUUGCUCUUUGGGUGGCGAGUGGCGGACGGGUGAGUAAUGUCUGGGAAACUGCCCGAUGGAGGGGGAUAACUACUGGAAACGGUAGCUAAUACCGCAUAACGUCGCAAGACCAAAGUGGAGGACCUUCGGGCCUCACACCAUCGGAUGUGCCCAGAUGGGAUUAGCUAGUAGGUGGGGUAAUGGCUCACCUAGGCGACGAUCCCUAGCUGGUCUGAGAGGAUGACCAGCCACACUGGAACUGAGACACGGUCCAGACUCCUACGGGAGGCAGCAGUGGGGAAUAUCGCACAAUGGGCGCAAGCCUGAUGCAGCCAUGCCGCGUGUAUGAAGAAGGCCUUCGGGUUGUAAAGUACUUUCAGCGGGGAGGAAGGCGGUGAGGUUAAUAACCUCGCCGAUUGACGUUACCCGCAGAAGAAGCACCGGCUAACUCCGUGCCAGCCGCCGCCGUAA
rnacentral:rRNA from 1 species